rnacentral:rRNA from 1 species
GGUAACGCGUGGGUAACCUGCCUCAUACAGGGGGAUAACAGUUAGAAAUGACUGCUAAUACCGCAUAAGACCACAGCACCGCAUGGUGCAGGGGUAAAAACUCCGGUGGUAUGAGAUGGACCCGCGUCUGAUUAGGUAGUUGGUGGGGUAACGGCCUACCAAGCCGACGAUCAGUAGCCGACCUGAGAGGGUGACCGGCCACAUUGGGACUGAGACACGGCCCAA